rnacentral:rRNA from 1 species
AAACUUUCAACAACGGAUCUCUUGGUUCUGGCAUCGAUGAAGAACGCAGCGAAAUGCGAUAAGUAAUGUGAAUUGCAGAAUUCAGUGAAUCAUCGAAUCUUUGAACGCACAUUGCGCCCUCUGGUAUUCCGGGGGGCAUGCCUGUUCGAGCGUCGUUU